UAUUAUUUGUAAACCUUUAUCAAAACAGAAGCAGCAUAUCCAGCAAUUUGUCAAUGUUGUAAUCGGUGGUACUGCAGCACGUGCCAUUCGGAGGUCAAAUUCUGUACAAGUAAGGAUUAAAUAAAUCAAUCGCCUACGAAACAGCCAGCAUAUGAAAGCUUUUUGCAAGUCGUCGUUCUCAAAAUGAAACUUUUGUCCUGCCAAGAACUUUCUACUGUAUUGAAAUAAGACAUGUUUCCAGAAUGAAAGUGGAAUGUUUUUCAAACGAAAUUUCAUUUUGUCACUACAUGAUGGUCUGAAUUUGAACGACAGCUGACGACAGAUGGCAAUACCUGCUAACACGUAGAAGUGAAUAUAACGACAUGACUAUCAUCUUGCACCUUUUAUCAAGCGUAUUCUGGAAUUCGUAGCUUAUAAAAUUGAAUAACUUGGGACCUAUACAAGUGCAUCUUACUGAAUGAAGACUUUUCGUCCACCACAAGGACAACUGUUUUCUUGGUUCUGCGUACCUCGGCAAUUUACACUAAGGAUGUUGAAUGUGCGUAAUUAUCUGUCAAUGACAUCAAAACAUCAGGAAUUCAAGGGCAUGGUGUCUUUUAAAAUGUUUAGACCGAAGUGAUUGCAACAAAACUGGACGAUUCUGAAGUUUCAUCAAGCGUAACCUUGGAACCCGAAGUCUUUACAAAUUAUGGACAAAGAUUCAAAAGGUGCUAUGAUAUCGUAAACUUGUGAUUUAUACCAAGUUUAAAAUGUAUCGAUUAAAAUGAUAAAAAUUGGAUUAUCAAAAUCUGCACAUUAGAAAUGAUAUUUAAUAUAAUCAACAUUUUUGGCUGCUAAUAUAUUUUUGAAAUGAUUGCUUCCAUUGUAACUCCAAAUGAUGGAUAACAUUAUUUAGAACUCUUCUGAAAAAUGCAGAAAUUCGUUUACAAAUGUUUGAUGUUCAACGAAGU